UGGGGAAUAUUGCACAAUGGAGGGAACUCUGAUGCAGCGACGCCGCGUGAACGAAGAAGGCUUUCGAGUCGUAAAGUUCUUUUAUAUGGGAAGAUAAUGACGGUACCAUAAGAAAAAGCCCCGGCUAACUACGUGCCAGCAGCCGCGGUAAUACGUAGGGGGCUAGCGUUGUCCGGAAUCACUGGGCGGAAAGGGUUCGCAGGCGGAAAUGCAAGUCAGGUGUAAAAGGCAGUAGCUUAACUACUGUAAGCAUUUGAAACUGCAUAUCUUGAGAAGAGUAGAGGUAAGUGGAAUUUUUAGUGUAGCGGUGAAAUGCGUAGAUAUUAAAAAGAAUACCGGUGGCGAAGGCGGCUUACUGGGCUCAUUCUGACGCUGAGGAACGAAAGCGUGGGUAGCAAACAGG
rnacentral:rRNA from 1 species